GAUGAACGCUAGCGGCAGGCUUAAUACAUGCAAGUCGUGGGGCAGCACAGAAUAGCAAUAUUUGGGUGGCGACCGGCAAACGGGUGCGUAACACGUACACAACUUACCCAUUACUGGGGGAUAGCCCAUGGAAACGUGGAUUAAUACCCCAUAUUAUAUUGGAAUGGCAUCAUUUUGAUAUCAAAGCUACGGCGGUAAUGGAUGGGUGUGCGUUUGAUUAGAUAGUUGGCGGGGUAAUGGCCCACCAAGU
rnacentral:rRNA from 1 species